rnacentral:rRNA from 1 species
GAUGAACGCUGGCGGCGUGCCUAAUACAUGCAAGUCGAGCGAACAGAUGAGGAGCUUGCUCCUCUGACGUUAGCGGCGGACGGGUGAGUAACACGUGGAUAACCUACCUAUAAGACUGGGAUAACUUCGGGAAACCGGAGCUAAUACCGGAUAAUAUAUUGAACCGCAUGGUUCAAUAGUGAAAGACGGUUUUGCUGUCACUUAUAGAUGGAUCCGCGCCGCAUUAGCUAGUUGGUAAGGUAACGGCUUACCAAGGCGACGAUGCGUAGCCGACCUGAGAGGGUGAUCGGCCACACUGGAACUGAGACACGGUCCAGACUCCUACGGGAGGCGGCAGUAGGGAAUCUUCCGCAAUGGGCGAAAGCCUGACGGAGCAACGCCGCGUGAGUGAUGAAGGUCUUCGGAUCGUAAAACUCUGUUAUUAGGGAAGAACAAAUGUGUAAGUAACUAUGCACGUCUUGACGGUACCUAAUCAGAAAGCCACGGCUAACUACGUG